UACCACAACUCGGAAUUGAACUAGGGACCUAUAGAUCUUCAGUCUUAACACUCUCACAACUGGGCUAUUUGUGGU